AAAGGCACUUCCUUGCGCUGGGUGAAUUAUGUGUCCGUGGUCAAGGCAUGACCACCAUGCCACAGAUGAGGGGCCUGUGAGGUCAGGUCAACAUUUAUUGAGCACCUGCUGCAUGCCUGGCUUUGGGAAGGGCUGAGAGGCCCUCAGGGAGGCUUGUGGGGCAGGAGCAGCCCCAUCGGGAUGAGGGCUCCACUUCCACCGGGGCGGGCUGAGCUUGCAGGGCCAGGCUAACACUCCCCUGGCUGUCUGCCGGCAGCACCCACUGAGGGGUAACUGGAGCCACCUCCCCCCCCCCCCCCACUAAACUGAGGUUGUGAGUUAUUCUCAGUGAUGACCUUUCUCCGAACGCCGUAAAGGCCACAGGGCAGGGUGAGGCAGGAGAUGUGACUGGGCAGGCCCGGUCAGGAGGUACAGGAACAGCUGGAAGGUAGCAGAGAGGAGGCACCAGGCCUGGGGCCCACCUGGGCCCUUGUCAGGCAGCUUGCAGAGUAGACCGUGCCUGAGAGGCCGAGCUGCGGGCUAACCUAGCAGCGGGGGUCACGGACUCCUCUCUGCCACAGCCACGGCUGGUGCCAGGCAGCGAUCGGGACCUUGCCUUGUGGCUGGCCUGCGCGUGGCCCUGGGAGAAGGGCUCUGUCUGUGGGGUGCAGUGUGGGCGCUGUGAAUGCAGGGGGCGCUGUGCUAACAUGGGACUGUAGCAGGCGCAUCAAGGAGGGCAUUGUCCAGUUGGGGGUUUUCCUAUUGGGUCUGUUUCCAGGCCUUCAGACUGGAAGCUGUUUGCUGGGUGGCAGCAUCCACAGAUGGAAUCUCCUUUGAAAACUCUAAAGGCCUUGGAGUCUGGGAGAACAUUAAGCCCUAAUGUCCUGAGGCAUCUGUUGUGUGUCAUGAGUUAACUUCUUUCUAGAAUGGGACUAAUUAUGUACCAUCCUUGGAAGAAUUGAGAAGUCACUCAAAUCAUUUUCUGCAUCCUGUGGCUCAGAGGAGGAACCCCGGUCGAGAGAGAUUGGGCAGCUUCUAACAAACGUUGCAUGUCUGAUAAAGUAGGGGAGGCCCCUGCUGCCUCUUCUCUGGGAUCCGGAGCCUCAACAGGUGGUGGUCAGGGGCAAGAGGGUCUUCUGCUAGCCAAAGCCCUGUGUGGGUUUUCACUGCCCAUGGCUGCCCGGCAUGGAGAGGUGAUGGGGGCGGGGGGGGGUGGCAGCUCAGGGCAAGGCCCAGGCCUCCCAGGUAAGGCCUGGGAAUGACAGGUGGGCACACCAACGUGGGGCUGGGGCCGGGUAGUGAAGCCUGAGUGGCCGAGGUGGGCACAGUGAAGGCCUCUUGGGCCGGGCCUGGCAAACCACAUACACAGUGGCUGGAAGAGGGACCUGCCUGGGUUGCUAAAGGUGUAUUAUUGUUUUGAAUCAAGAAGGUGACAUCUGAGGAGCCAGGGACAGGUGAAAUUUCUGGAGCUAGUAUCUCUUAGGUGAGAUGGAGGGUCAGGACAGGCAUAGGGACAUUGUGCUGGCUCUGAAGUAAGAUCGGAAGAGGCCAGUCUGGUAGGGGGAUGUGUAAGUGGUGGGGGCUCGUCAGUUAGGGUCAGUUAUGGGGUAGCUUCAUGUCAGGAUCAGGCAGAGAUACGAUGGUGCAUUGUGGGGUUUCUCAGGGCUCAGCCGGAGUUAGCACACAGUGGAGAGCUAACUUUGGCUGGUGGCGUCUAAAGAGGCACCAGGAUAGGCACAGGUGAGUUCUGAGGAGGAGCCAGGACAGGUAAAGGUACUCUUGAGGUCUGUGACUUCUGGGAGACACAGGUUAUUUCAGGAUGGUUCUAUCAAGUGAGGUCUGAGGAGCCAGAGUCACAUACAGGUACUUUAACCUGGGUCUAUGAGUUGAAGUCCCUGGCAUGGGACAGGUGUAUACAUUGGGGUCUGUCCGACUGGUCCUGCAAAGUGAAUAUCAGGUAACGAGUGUCUGAUCACUCAAAUGAAGUGAUAAAAACUCAGCAUUAGGCAAACCUAGGUAAGUGCCCUGAGCCACAUCAGCUACCUGGCUCUUGGCAUCCUGACCAGGUGUGAUAAGCAGAGCUCAAGGGUUGCAGAGGCCUCUGAGGACCCGCAACCAGCCCAGGGUUCUGGCACUGGGUUCUGGCUGGGGUGGGGCUCAAGGGGCCCAGAGGAGUAAAAGGUAGGAAUACCCUGAGUUAUAAAAGGUGGGGGCAGGGGAAGAACAGACAGGAGCUAUGUUGGUAAGGUGUAGUCCGAGAAGCUCGUGGUGGACAAAGGCCUAGAGAGCCACAUGUAUGGGGUGAGUUUCUGAGGCCCAAGUCUCAGCACCAAGAGGCUCUCACCAGUUUUCCCUCAGGCUGGGUAAGCAGCCAGGAGCAGUCUGGCCUGAGGGAAGAGUCCGUUCAGUUUAGGUUUGUACAGCGGAGUCUGCCGGGGUGGGAGGGCCGUAGAACCACGUCCGUCUGAGGUCACAGGAGCUGGAAGCAGACACGGUGUGUAUGACUAGGUUUCUUAGGGAGUCCUCAGGGGCCAAGGUGAGGCACAUAUAGGAAGAAGUGGGUUGCUCAGGUAAGGACACUGGAGCCGAAGAAGGGCUGACAUAGCUGAGUCUGACAGGUGAGGACUAGAAAUCCGUGAUCGGGUCCAGCUGAGAACUGUGCCCUCGGGUGAUAUCUAGCGGUUCUGGUGACGCGCAGGUUGAUGAUCCUGGAGGUGGUCCUGGGUCACCUGGGGAAAGACAAGCUGGAGUCAGGCAGAGGGAUGGGGAACAUCCCAGAGGCAUGCACCCAGAAGGUAUAUGAAUUCUGGGUCUGGCUCAGAUAUGUAGAACAGGUUUGUCAGGUGGGGCUUGAGAGGGCAGGUGAGUUUCAAGUUUGUACUUUUGGGUCUCGAAUAGGUAAGGUCUAAAUUGCUGAGGUCAGGCCCUGGUUUGUAUUCUGAACCUGAGGAGCUGGGGCCAAGCAUAGGUGGGUAGAGCUGAGUUUUUUGGGUAACAUCUUUGAAGCCAAGGGUAAGCAGAGGUAGGUUGACCUGAAGAGCCACGGUUAGGUUUAUUCAACUCUGUCUCCCCACUGAGUUUAGGUAUAGGUAGGUAGACCAGAUCUGUCAGGUAAGGCCUAAGGAGGCCGUGUUAGGCUUAUCUAGAAAGAACUCUAUCUCUUAGAUGAUCUCUGCAGUAAUGAAGUGACAGUCGGGAGGAUAGGGCUCGGUCUCUCAGGUGAGAUCUCAGGAGCCAGGAUUGAGUGCAAGUGACUAGAUCUGGAUCUUCUAAGUUAAGGUCAAGGUAGGAAGAUAGAAUUGCGCCUCUACCUAUCUUGUAGAGCUGUCUUGCAAGGCUGACAAGUUGUGGUCAGAUACAGAUAAUGUGGAAUUGAGUUUCUCAGAUAAGGUCUACGAGGUCUGUAUCUGGCAGGGGUUUGUAUCCUUGGAACUAUCCAUAUGAGUUAAGCAUGGGUGAGUACAGCAGGGUUUGUCAGGUAAGGUCUAUGCUGCCAAGAUGAGGGCAGGUUCAUAAUACUAGGUCUGUCCAGUGAGAUGUAAAAAGUCACAGUUGAGUCCCGGUAAGAAUCGAAUGUUUUAGAUGUAAGCAACUGAAAGGAGGUACAGGUAGGCAGAGCUCGCCCACUAUGUACAGUGUCAGGAACCAGGAGCAAGCAUGGGGAGAUAGAUCUGACUUGCCAGGUGAGUUCUGAGGAGCCAGGGUCAAGCUCAGGUAUGCAGAACUGGCCCACCAGGUGAGGUCUGAGGAGCCAGGGUCAAGCCCAGGUAGGUAAAACUGGCCCACCAGGUGAGGUCUGAAGAACGAGGAUCUAGCACAGGUAGGUAGAGCUGGUCUGCCAUGUAAGGCCUGAGGAGCGAGGGUCAAGCCCAGGUAGGCAGAACUGGCCCACCAGGUGAGGUCUGGGGAGCUGGGAUCAAGCAUAGGUAGGUAGAACUGGACUGCCAGGUGUCAUCUGAGGAGCCAAGGUCAAGUAUAGGUAGGUAGAAUUAGCCUAUCAAAUAAAGUUUGAGGAAUUAGAGUCAAGUCCAAGUAGGCUUGCUAGGUGAGGUCUGAGGAGCCAGGGUCAAGCCCAGGUAGGUAGAACUGGCCCACCAGGUGAGGUUUGAGGAACCGGAUCAAGCACAGGUAGGUAGAACUGGACCUCCAGGUAUGAUCUGAGGUUAAGGUCAAGUAUAGGUAGGUAGAAUUAGCCUAUCAGGUAAAGUUUAAGGAAUCGGAGUCAAGCCCAGGUAGGCUUGCUAGGUGAGGUCUGAGGAGCCAGGGUCAAGCCCAGGUAGGUAGAGUUGGCCCUCCAGGUAUGGUCUGAAGAGGCAAGGUCAAGCACAGGUAGGUAGAACUGGCCUGCCAGGUAAGGUCUGAGGAGCUAGGGUCAAGCACAGGUAGGUAGAACUGGCCGGCCAGGUAAGUUCUCAGGAGCCAGGAUAGAGCACAGGUAGGUAGAGCUGGCCCUCCAGAUAAGGUGUGAAGAGCCAAGGUCAAGCACAGGUAGGUAGAACUGGCCUGCCAGGUAUGGUCUGAGGAGCCAGGGUCAAGCCCAGGUAGGUAGAACUGGCCCACCAGGUAUGGUCUGAGGAGCCAGGGUCAAGCACAGGUAGGUAGAACUGGCCCACCAGGUAUGGUCUGAGGAGCGAGGGUCAAGCCCAGGUAGGUAGAACUGGCCCACCAGGUAAGUUCUCAGGAGCCAGGGUCAAGCACAGGUAGGUAGAGCUGGCCCUCCAGAUAAGGUCUGAAGAGGCAAGGUCAAGCACAGGUAGGUAGAACUGGCCCACCAGGUAUGGUCUGAGGAGCCAGGGUCAAGCCCAGGUAGGUAGAACUGGCCCACCAGGUAUGGUCUGAGGAGCCAGGGUCAAGCCCAGGUAGGUAGAACUGGCCCACCAGGUAUGGUCUGAGGAGCCAGGGUCAAGCCCAGGUAGGUAGAACUGGCCCGCCAGGUAAGUUCUCAGGAGCCAGGGUCAAGCACACGUAGGUAGAGCUGGCCCACCAGGUAUGGUCUGAGGAGCCAGGGUCAAGCCCAGGUAGGUAGAACUGGCCCGCCAGGUAAGUUCUCAGGAGCCAGGGUCAAGCACACGUAGGUAGAGCUGGCCCUCCAGAUACGGUCUGAAGAGCCAAGGUCAAGCACAGGUAGGUAGAACUGGCCCACCAGGUAUGGUCUGAGGAGCCAGGGUCAAGCACAGGUAGGUAGAACUAGCCUGCCAGGUAAGGUCUGAGGAGCCAGGGUCAAGCACAGGUAGGUAGAACUGGCCUGCCAGGUAAGGCCUGAGGAGCCAGGGUCAAGUACAGGUAGGUAGAACUGGUCCACCAGGUAUGGUCUGAAGAACCAGGUUCAAGCCCAGGUAGGCAGAACUGGCCCACCAGGUGAGGUCUGAGAAACUGGGAUCAAACACAGGUAGGUAGAACUGGACUGCCAGGUAUCAUCUGAGGAGCCAAGGUCAAGUAUAGGUAGGUAGAAUUAGCCUAUCAGAUAAAGUUCGAGGAAUCGGAGUCAAGUCCAGGUAGGCUUGCUAGGUGAGGUCUGAGGAGCCAGGGUCAAGCCCAGGUAGGUAGAACUGGCCCACCAGGUAAGGUCUGAGGAGUCAGGGUCAAGCCCAGGUAAAGUUUGAGGAGUUGCAGUCAAGUCCAGGUAGGCUUACUAGGUAAGGUCUGAAGAACCAGGGUCAAGCCCAGGUAGGUAGAGCUGGCCCUCCAGAUAAGGUGUGAGAGCCAAGGUCAAGCCCAGGUAGGUAGAACUGGACUGCCAGGUAUGAUCUGAGGGGCCAGUGUCGAGCAUAGGUAGGUAGAACUUAGCCUAUCAGGUGAAGUCUGAGGAAGUAGAGUCAAGCACAGGGAGGCAGAUUGGCUUGCUGGGUGAGCUCUGAGGAGCCAGGGUCAAGCACAGGUAGGCAGAUCUGACUUGUCAAGCAAGGUCUGAGAAUCCAGGGUCAAGCACAGGUAGGUAGAACUGGACCACUGGGUAUGGUCUGAGGAGCCAAGGUUGAGCAUAGGUAGGUUGAACCAACCUGUCAGGUGAAGCCUGAGGAACUGGGGUCAAGCAAAGGUAGGCAGAGCUGGCCCACUGGGUACAGUAGGAGGAGCCCAGGACAUACAUACAGGGUGGGUAGAGCUGGCUUACUAGCUGCAGUGUAAGGACUUGGGCACGUAAGGUAGACAGAUCUGGCCCGCCAGGCGUGGUCUCCGGACCCAGGGUCAUGCAGUGUAGGCAGAACUGGCCCACUAGAUAUGGUCUGAGGAGUCAGGGUAGCACAGGUUGGCAGAACUGUCCUGCUAGCUGCAGUAUAAGGAGCCAGGGUCCGGUGUAGCUCAGUAGAGCCGGCCCAGCAGCUGCAGCGUAAGGAGCCACAGGCAUGUAAGGUUGGCUGAACCGCCCUGCCAGGGAUGGUCCCUGAACCCAGGGUCAAGCACAGGUCAGUGGAGCUGGCCUGACAGAUGUGGUCUGAGGAGCCAGGGUCAGAGGCAGGAAGGCAAAGCACAUCUACCAAGUGUAAUGUCUUGAGGAGGCCCGAAGAGUUGGGGUUGAACUGAGGAACUAAGGUCCAGCAUAGAUAGAGCCGGCCUGCCAGGCGUGGCCUGAGGAGGUCGGUGAGGUAGGUAGAUUGACUUGCUGGUGUUGGAUUCAGGCAAGGGUACAUAUCCUUGGGUUUUCGUGGUGAGGCCUGAAGAAGGAAGGCGAAGAUUGGGUGGGUGGAGUGGCCACAGGUGAGUCCCGCAGCUCUGAGGUCUUCAGGUAAACAGACCACCUUGGGGCUCAGAGGAGGUCUGCGAGCCCUCAGACGUGAGCAGGUGGACGUGGCUCUCUCAAGCACAGGCUUUGGAGCCAGAGAUACCUGCCUGGGUCUUGUUGGUGUGUCUUUGGAACAUGGUUCUGGCUCAGGUGUGCUGACCGAGGUCUUAGAGUUAGAGGGGAGGCUUGGAGAGCACGGGUUAGUCACAGGGAGGGAGAACCACAUCUUGCAGGGGUGGGUGGGGCAGUCUCUAGAGCACAGGUCUGCAGAGAGAUUCGUGUCCGGUGAGCUGAGGCUCGUCAGUGAGGCGUUGGUGCCAGGUCACACAGCGGUGGUUAGCGUUGGCUCUGGCUGCAAGAUGCGAAGAGCCACGUCAGAGAAGGAUAGAGAGCUGGGUUUUUCAAGUUAGGCCUGGGGGCGUUGAGGUCAGGCCUGUUUAGACAGAGCUGGGUCUCUCAGGAAGGUGUGAGGAGUCUGAGUUGGGCUUGGGAAGGUGGGCCUGGGUCUGUCGGUUGAGAUGUGAGGAGUCAGGGUCCAGCACCGACAGAUGUGGAGCCAGUGCGUCUGCACAGCUGCAUGGGGCCUGGCUCCGCAGGGGUCUGACCCUGCCGUGUGAGUCCUGGAGGAGGACCUGGGUAGGCUGAACUGAGCUCGCGGGCGAAGCCAUUGCUUCCGUCCAUCCGUGUUGGCUUUGUCAUGAGUCCCUGGACAGAGGUCUAUCAAGCACCCAUCUUCGGUGGGUUCUUGUCCCCUGGAUUCAGGGACAAGUUGGCGUCCCUGGGCUUGUUAGGUGAAAUGAGUAGGCAUGAUCUAGCCCAGGAACGCAUAACAGGUGUGGCUGGUGAGGCCUGAUAAUGUGGGUCAGGUGCAGGUGGGGCCCUUGGUGGUAGGAUCAGGCAUGGGCUCUCCUCAAGGGAAAGCCAGAGUCAUCAUAGGUAUGUGUCCCUACGGUCAGCCUGGGGAGGUCUUGGUAACCCUUAGGAUCACAUAGGACAGACAGAAUGCCUUGAACCAGAGCUCCUGUUCUCAGUACCCUGGUCAGGCAUGAUGGACAGAGCUCAUGGUAUUGCAGUGGCCCGAGGAUCUAUAGCCAGGCCAAGGUGUGGUCUGAUGGGCAUAGGGGCUGAGUUACUCACAUGGGAAAAAAGUAGGUUAUAAGUGGUUAGAUAAAGUGAGGGGCUGGGGGCUGGGGCAGGGGAGGCACAGAAUGCCAAACCAAUGAGGAACUACCUCUGUGAGGUGCGAUCUGAAAGGGCCACUGCAGGUAAAGUGAGUUCUCGAGAUUGUGUCUGUAGGUGGAGGUCAGAUGCUGGCAUUGUUGGGCUCCCAAAAGUGAGGUCUAAUGACCCGGGACAGCCAAAAUCAGCAGCUUGGCCGCGCAGUUUCUAGAAUUGAGUCUGUUUGGUGAGAUCUGGGAGCCUGUGUCAGGCGUAGUGUGGCUCCUGGGACUGUGUCUGUCUGGUAAGGUUCCCCCAAACCUGGACUCUUUCCAGGUGAAGGGCUCCAGCCAUUCAUCUCAUUACCCAAGCCAGAAACCUCUGGGCCACACUUGAUUCUCUCUUCUUUUCAAUUCAUCCUGUUUGAUUGAAGCUCCUGAAUGAGCCCUCUGCCUUCCCCAUCCAGGGUCGAGUCAUGUUCCUGAUGACCACUGGGGCUCCCUGCUUCAUCCUCCGGCAUUGCCUCUCAGCUUCUACCCUCCGGCUCCCACGCCUUCCUUCAUCUAGACUGUGCUGUGGUUCCUCUUGCCCAGCCUGUCUCAGUGGGCUUCCAGUAGAGAAUUAAGCCCUCAUGCCCCAAGGCAUCCAGUAGAUAUCAUGAAUUAGCAUUUCUUCCUUGCUUCUAGGAGGGUAUUAGCCUUGGACCAUUCUUGGGAGAGUUGAGAAGUGAAGACAUUGGAAGUGUUUUCUGUGGGGCUUAAUUCUCUCAGUUGAGAAAGGCUGCUCUUGCCACAGGACCUUCACAUAUGCUGUAUUGGCUGCUGGAAUGCUUCUCCCCCCUCAGUGCUUUCCUGGGUAAUGCUUUCUCAUUCUUUAGAUCCAAGCUUAAGCACUCCUCAGAUUCCUUUUACAAUUGAUUUCAUUGCUGUAUUUCCAUUCUCCCAAGCACUUGUAUUUCAUUUCACAUUUUUUGGCAUGAUUAUUACAUUUACAUCUCUAGGGAGCCCCCCUGAGCUGCUUCUGUUGAAUGUGGUAGGUGUUCCAUAAAAAGCUGUUAGGAAGGUGUGAAUGGAUUUCUGAGGAUUUAAGUGAUAAAGAGUGGAGUCUGCAAGUGUGACUAGGUAGGUCUUGGGGCUGAGGCUGAGAAGAUCUAUCAGGUAUGAGCCCUGGGCCUGCCACUGUCCCGGGAGGCACUGGGUUUGUCUGGUGCAGGCCAAACCCAGGUUUAUUGGUAUCUGAGGAGGCCGGGCUGAGACCCAGGUAGAAGCUACUGUAUCCUUUCCUUGUUUGAGGAAUAGGACCUCAUACCUGUGCCAGCAGAUUCUGACCUGUUACCAGCCAGGUAGGUGGGCUAGUCACAAGUACAAGAAGCUGGGGCCGUCAGUGUUUAGAGAGUCUGGAUAUAGAUAUGAGGUACUAGGUCUGUUAGUGACUGAGGAGGUGGGUCCUGGCACAAGUAUGAGGCAUCGGUUCUGUCAUUGUCCCACGAGGCACAACCAAACACAGGUAUGAGGUACUGGCUCUGUCAGUAUUUGAAAACACUUUGGCACAGGUAUGAAGCACUGGUCUCUCAGUGUCUGAGGGGGCUGGACCUGGCAAGGUAUGAGAUGUUGGUCUGCUGGUGUCUGAGGAAGUGGGGCCUGGUACCAGGUAGGAAGCACUGGGUCUGUUUCUAAGGAAACCGGUCCUGGCACAGGUAUGAGGCACUGGGUCUCUGUCUGAGGAAACUGGGCCUGGUACCAGGUAUGAGGCGCUGGGUCUGUCUGUCUGAGGAGGCCAGGUCUGGCACAGGUAUGAGACGCUGGGUCUGUGUGUCUGUCUGUCUGAGGAGGAGGCCAGGCCUGGCGCGGGUAUGAGGCGCUAGGUCUGUGUGUCUGUCAGAGGAGGAGCCUGGGCCUGGCACAGGUAUGAGGCACUUGGUCUCUGUGUCUGAGGGGGAGGUGGGGUCUGGCACAGGUAUGAGGCACUGGGUCUGUCUGUCAGAGGAGGAGCCUGGGCCUAGCACAGGUAUGAGGCACUGGGUCUGUGUGUCUGAGGUGGAUCCUGGGCCUGGCACAGGUAUGAGGCGCUGGGUCUGUCUGUCUGUCAGAGGAGGAGCCUGGGCCUGGCACAGGUAUGAGGCACUGGGUCUGUGUGUCUGAGGAGGAGGUGGGGUCUGGCGCAGGUAUGAAGGCGCUGGGUCUGUCUGUCUGUCAGAGGCGGAGCCUGGGCCUGGCGUGGGUAUGAGGUGCUGGGUCGGUCUGUCAGAGGAGGAGCCUGGGCCUGGCACAGGUAUGAGGCACUGGGUCUGUGUGUCUGAGGAGGAGGUGGGGUCUGGUGCAGGUAUGAGGCAUGGGUCUGUCUGUCUGUCUGAGGAGGAGCCUGGGCCUGGCACAGGUAUGAGGCACUGGGUCUGUGUGUCUGAGGAGGAGGUGGGGUCUGGCGCAGGUAUGAGGCACUGGUCUGUCUGUCAGAGGCAGAGCCUGGGCCUGGCGUGGGUAUGAGGCUCUGGGUCUGUCUGUGUGAGGAGGAGGCCGGGCCUUGUGCAAGUAUGAGGCACUGGGUCUGUCUGUGUCUGAGGAGACAGGGCCAGCCAUGGUAAGGUCUUCAGUUCAGUCUUGUGGUUCUGAUCAGUCUCAUGUAGUCUUCCCUGUUGGUCAGCACAAAGAGUUGCCAGCGCCUGGCCUGCUGUCUUGCUUCCCAGAGGUGGGUUGGGCCCAGGCCCUCCAUGCUGCUCCUGUGGAAGAACGUUGCUCUCGGGGCAAAUUUUGUGGCAGGAGGGAGGGGGGCGGGGUGUGCCAACCCUUCUUCAGCACGUUUUCCUGUCUC